UACAGGGGGGUGCAAACGUUGCUCGGAAUCAUUGGGCGUAAAGCGCACGUAGGCGGUUCGUUAUGUCGGAUGUGAAAGCCCCUUGGCUUAACCGAGGAAGUGCAUCCGAAACUGGCGAGCUAGAGUACUAAAGAGGAUCGCGGAAUUCCCGGUGUAGAGGUGAAAUUCGUAGAUAUCGGGAGGAACACCGGUGGCGAAGGCGGCGAUCUGGGUAGAUACUGACGCUGAGGUGCGAAAGCGUGGGGAGCAAACAGG
rnacentral:rRNA from 1 species